rnacentral:rRNA from 1 species
AGCGAACUUUCCAGAGAUGGAUUGGUGCCUUCGGGAACGCUGAGACAGGUGCUGCAUGGCUGUCGUCAGCUCGUGUUGUGAAAUGUUGGUUAAGUCCCGCAACGAGCGCAACCCUUAUCCUUUGUUGCCAGCGAUUCGGUCGGGAACUCAAAGGAGACUGCCGGUGAUAAACCGGAGGAAGGUGGGGAUGACGUCAAGUCAUCAUGGCCCUUACGAGUAGGGCUACACACGUGCUACAAUGGCGCAUACAAAGAGAAGCGACCUCGCGAGAGCAAGCGGACCUCAUAAAGUGCGUCGUAGUCCGGAUCGGAGUCUGCAACUCGACUCCGUGAAGUCGGAAUCGCUAGUAAUCGUGGAUCAGAAUGCCACGGUGAAUAUGUUCCCGGGCCUUGUACACACCGCCCGUCACACCAUGGGAGUGGGUUGCAAAAGAAGUAGGUAGCUUAACCUUCGGGAGGGCGCUUACCACUUUGUGAUUCAUGACUGGGGUGAAGUCGUAACAAGGUAAGCGUAGCGAG